GCAUGGUUGUCCGUGAUUUGCUGAAAACCGUUUUUUCCUUAUGGAAGUGCUUUAUGGGAUAGCAGGAGGCUGGUUUGUCGUUAGUGCCUUAAGAAAAUUAAGAUUUUGUGAACGUUUAUGGCAUGGAAAUGAUUGCCGGGUGUCAUUCUUGCUAAAAGGUACAUGCAAUUUUUUUUUCAACCGUGAAUUUAACCUACUUUUAAAUCGUGACAAAUAUUGGAAGUGAGCGGAAUUUUUAAGUGAAAAGUGAUGGUGUUGGUGUAAAGCUAAUCUGUAGAAGAGUUAUGCAAAUAGAUUUGUGCAGGAUUUUUUCCUGGACGUAAAGAUAGACAUUUCAUGUAGCAGAUUUUUGGAUGCGUAAUAUCCUUGAUUUUAUUACAGUGAAGAAUAGCCUAUGUAAAGUGUUUGAUAUUCAUUUUGCCAUAAAGGUAGAAGUCUUCAUGGGACUCGAUAACGGCUGACUUGAAAAACCACGGGAUAUGGUGAAAUACUAUGUUCAAGUUUUGGACACAAUUACUUGAAAUAGUGUGAGGUUUGCUGCUUGCUUCCGGAGGUCAAUCCUUCAUCUUUUAACAUGUUUGGCUAUGUUGAAUCGGUUUCAAAGACUGCACAUGUUACUGAUGAAUGAAAACAUCCUCCGCUGGAUGACUGGCCAUCUGCAGUGAAGGGGCAAGACGACGACUCAAUUCUCAUCUUUUGAAAUCUGUUGAAAGCUACGACCGACAACACAGUGGAACUUCGUAGAUUUUGUGACUACUGAAAAUAAUGUACAUUUGUGCUGAAUGUCUAAUGAUUCAAGAUUAAUAUGUUUUCUUGCUGGGUUUAUGUAAAAAGAUACAUUAUCACAAUAAUUUGGGCCGAAUAUUAGAAGCUUGACCGGUAGUAUCCAAUGUACAGAGAGUUUAGUUUUCGGAGUAGUUAUUACACUUGAAUAUUUAAAAUUUCGAAGCCUUCUAGUUUAUACUAAACACAAUAACUACGGAAUGCAAUAACUAUUGAUAGUUAAGGUUUCCAGAGGCAAUCACGCGAAAAAUAACGUCAUUUGAAUUAUAAAAAUCUGGUUUUGGAAGUUUUGAAAAAAAGUUCAACGUUGUGAUUUUGAUAGCCACUCAAAUAGUUAAUUGUUUCAACGUAAUUUAGAGAUUAAAGUUUUUGUAUAUAACCUUUGAGAAAGCCGUAUUAUUUCCUCAUGGACACUUUCUCAAGAGAUUCGUGAUUUUUGAGUUUUUAGUGAGCCUGGGAAUUUUUGAUAAAAUUUUGUAAAUCUGAUUUUUUUCUUUUAUGAUUUAGUAUUUGUUGUGGAUUUUAAGUUCAGAAUUUUCUCUUGUGAUUUCGAUAAAUGAUAAAAAAAAAAAAGUCUUAAGCAAACUUUUUAACUUCAAAAGAAGUACUAAUUUUUUUUUUUAUCGGAAAGCUUAAUAACACUUCAAAAGUUUUUUUGCCUUGACGUUUGACAGAGUGAAUUGAUUCGUAAAAAAAAAAUCAGAAAUGGCAUUGGAUACUAAUUUCCAUUGGUAUUCAUUACUACGAUUUUGUCCGGUAAGUUGCUAAUCUGUUUUAUCCGAUAGAAUGGGGAUAUGGUCGCUGUAUGUGCUUUGGUAGUGAAAUGCUUAACAUUUUGAGAAAACAUGUUGAAAAUAUAUCUUCCCACUGUAUCUCAUUAAAUGUUCUUUUGUUCAUAACUGUUGAUAUGCAAUUUUAGUUGUACACACACACACACACACACACACACACACACACACACACACACACACACACACACACACACACAGUAUCCCUAUCCAGAUAGAUGCCAAUUUAGUAUAAAGUGCAUUAAGUUGACUGGUUCAUAGUUAUGGUGAGGAAAAUAUAGCUGGAGUCUUAUUGCAUGGCUGACUA